rnacentral:tmRNA from 1 species
GGGGGCGACCCGGUUUCGACGUGCCUGUCGAAGUCACGGUUGCGCGCCGAGGACCCCGGUUGGCCUCGUUAAUCAACCGGGAAAAAACACAAAAGCCAACGACGAAUUGGCCCUCGCGGCGUAAUCAUUGCCGCGACGUCCGUCCCUCCUCCGCCUGCGGGAGGUGACGGGCGUCAUGAGCAGGCUGGCGACCCCUCCCGGGCAUCCGGGGAAGGGAGCGAGAACCCACAGGAUGCUGGCGGUGCCGUUCGCCCGUCCGCGGACAGACGGCAUGGCGAGACUCAAUCGCGGAAUACACGCGUAGAUGCCGUGGCAACGCUCGUGCGGACGGGAGUUCGACUCUCCCCGCCUCCACCA